AAAAAACCCCAAAAUUCCCCCAAAAAUUCCUCAAAAACCCCCAAAAGUCCCCCGGAAAUUUCCCCAAACCCCCCCAAAAAAUUCCCCCAAAAUUCCCCCAAAAUCCCCCCAAAAAUUCCCCAAAAAACCCCAAAAUCUCCCCAAAAAUUCUUCCAAAAUUCCCCCCAAAAUCUCCAAAAAAUUCCUCCAAAAUCCUCCCCAAAAAACCCAAAUAUUCCCCCCAAAAACCCCAAAAUUUCCCCCAAAAUCCCCUCGUGCCUCAGUUUCCCUUUUUUUUUUUUAUUUUUUGAAGCCAAAUUUUGGGAAUUAAAUUUGGGAAUUUUGGGGAUUUUCCCCCAAAUUUUGGGGUUUUUUUCUCCUGAUUUUUGGGGUUUUUUCCCCUGAAUUUUGGGGCAUUUUCCCCUCAAUUUUUGGGAGUUUUUCACCAAAUUUUGGGGGAUUUUCCCCAAAUUUUGAGGUUUUUUCCCCUGAAUUUUGGGGUUUUUUUCCCCAAAUUUUGGGGGGUUUUCUCCUGAAUUUUGGGGGAUUUUCCCCCAAAUUUUGGGGUUUCUUUUUCCUGAAUUUUGGGGCAUUUUCCCCAAAUCUUGGGGGAUUUUCUCCUGAAUUUUUGGGGAUUUUUUCCCCAAAUUUUUGGGGUUUUCUCUUGAAUUUUGGGGGUUUUUUUCCUCCUGAAUUUUGGGGGAUUUUCCCCAAAUUUUGAGGUUUUUUCCCCUGAAUUUUGGGGUUUUUUUCACCUGAAUUUUGGGGGAUUUUCCCCAAAUUUUUGUAGGUUUUCCCUGCCUCAGUUUCCCUCUCCCCCAAGGACCAUCCCAAACUCCCAAAGAUCCCAAAAUCCCAAAAAAAACCCAAAAACCACCCGGAGGGGGAGGGUGAAAAAAAAUCCCCAAACUGGGGUUAAAAAAUAAUAAAAAUAAAAACUUUAAAAAAAUAAA